rnacentral:rRNA from 1 species
GCUUCGGCGGGCCCGCCAUUCAUGGCCGCUCGAGGGGCUCUCAGCCCCGGGCCCGCGCCCGCCGGAGACACCACGAACUCUGUCUGAUCUAGUGAAGUCUGAGUUGAUUGUAUCGCAAUCAGUUAAAACUUUCAACAAUGGAUCUCUUGGUUCCGGCAUCGAUGAAGAACGCAGCGAAAUGCGAUAACUAGUGUGAAUUGCAGAAUUCCGUGAAUCAUCGAGUCUUUGAACGCACAUUGCGCCCCCUGGUAUUCCGGGGGGCAUGCCUGUCCGAGCGUCAUUGCUGCCCAUCAAGCACGGCUUGUGUGUUGGGUCGUCGUCCCCUCUCCGGGGGGGACGGGCCCCAAAGGCAGCGGCGGCACCGCGUCCGAUCCUCGAGCGUAUGGGGCUUUGUCACCCGCUCUGUAGGCCCGGCCGGCGCUUGCCGAACGCAAAUCAAUCUUUUUCCCAGGUUGACCUCGGAUCAGGUAGGGAUACCCGCUGAACUUAAGCAUAUCA